rnacentral:misc_RNA from 1 species
UGGAUGACUUGCAAACUGGGCAUAAUGUUUUUCUGCCGAGCCAUGGAUCGAUACAAUCUUUAUGAAAUUUAUGCAGGCAAGGAAGAUGACGUAUAGUUUCUCCAAUAGUUGGGGUUUCUAGACAGAUUGCACAAGUUCUCAAAGUUCUCAGUCUGUACUACAGAUUCUGGCAAACUGUUAAUUCGAUUGACCGAUGCGCCGUGUUGGUGAUUGUUCUCAUCAAGGGCCAACAACAUUUCAUAAUCAUUUUCAUUAAAAUCACGCUGAACUUGAAGAAUGCGACUAGCUGUCAUAUUCAUAUCACUGAAUUCCCCUACUGCAUCUUCUAAUGCUUCCAAUAUAUCAAGUCUCAUGUCUAAGUCCAUGCCCAAAGGAAACUGGAAACUACUGGCUCUAGAUAAUGCUGUAUGAGAAUGGUUUCUGGCUCUAGAUAAUGCUGAAGGAUGUCGGUUCAAUAAGCGAUUCCUCAAUGAUGUUCUAGCAGCAGGAACUUGAGCCUGGGCUCGUCUCCUAUUUGAAGGGUUCUGAAAGGACUGUGGCUGGGGCUGUCUAUUUGCAUGCAUUGUAGCUGAGCUUCUAAGACGUAGUCUAGGGUGAUUUUGACUAGAAGCAUUGCGGAAAGCAUCCUCCUCCUGCUGCAGUACCCAUGCUAUAUUUUCAUCAAUCUCACUGCCUCCAAAUAUUGGCGUCUCAUGAUACAAUUGUUCUGGGAGUUCACGAGCCAAAAUUUCAUCUGCU